AUGCAGUCGAGGGGCAGCAUUUUAGUUUGCUUGCAAACUAAAGAUGGCGACCGGCGCACGGGUGAGUAACACGUAUCCAACCUGCCGAUAACUCGGGGAUAGCCUUUCGAAAGAAAGAUUAAUAUCCGAUGGUAUAUUAAAACCGCAUGGUUUUACUAUUAAAGAAUUUCGGUUAUCGAUGGGGAUGCGUUCCAUUAGUUUGUUGGCGGGGUAACGGCCCACCAAGACUACGAUGGAUAGGGGUUCUGAGAGGAAGGUCCCCCACAUUGGAACUGAGACACGGUCCAAACUCAUACGGGAGGCAGCAGUGAGGAAUAUUGGUCAAUGGACGAGAGUCUGAACCAGCCAAGUAGCGUGAAGGAUGACUGCCCUAUGGGUUGUAAACUUCUUUUAUAUGGGAAUAAAGUAUUCCACGUGUGGGAUUUUGUAUGUACCAUAUGAAUAAGGAUCGGCUAACUCCGUGCCAGCAGCCGCGGUAAUACGGAGGAUCCGAGCGUUAUCCGGAUUUAUUGGGUUUAAAGGGAGCGUAGGUGGAUUGUUAAGUCAGUUGUGAAAGUUUGCGGCUCAACCGUAAAAUUGCAGUUGAAACUGGCAGUCUUGAGUACAGUAGAGGUGGGCGGAAUUCGUGGUGUAGCGGUGAAAUGCUUAGAUAUCACGAAGAACUCCGAUUGCGAAGGCAGCUCACUAGACUGCAACUGACACUGAUGCUCGAAAGUGUGGGUAUCAAACAGGAUUAGAUACCCUGGUAGUCCACACAGUAAACGAUGAAUACUCGCUGUUUGCGAUAUACAGUAAGCGGCCAAGCGAAAGCAUUAAGUAUUCCACCUGGGGAGUACGCCG
rnacentral:rRNA from 1 species